rnacentral:ncRNA from 1 species
CGGGCAAUGCCAUUGGCAUUGCCCGGUAGCUACGUUCGGACGGGAUAACCGCUGAAAGCAUCUAAGCGGGAAGCCCCCUUCAAGAUGAGAUCUCACUUGGACCUUGAGUCCACUAAAGAGCCGUUCAAGACCAGGACGUUGAUAGGCUGGGUGUGUAAGCGUUGUGAGGCGUUGAGCUAACCAGUACUAAUUGCUCGUGAGGCUUGACCAU